rnacentral:rRNA from 1 species
CCCGCAACGAGCGCAACCCUUGCCUUAGUUUGCCAGCAGCUCGGGCUGGGCACUCUAAAGGGAACUGCCGGUGUUAAACCGGAGGAAGGUGGGGAGUGACGUCAAGUCCUCAUGGCCUUUAUGACCAGGGCUACACACGUACUACAAUGGCCGAUACAAAGGGCAGCGACACUGCGAGGUGAAGCCAAUCCCGUAAAAUCGGUCUCAGUCCGGAUUGGAGUCUGCAACUCGACUCCAUGAAGUUGGAAUCGCUAGUAAUCGUGGAUCAGCAUGCCACGGUGAAUACGUUCCCGGGCCUU